AUACCUUUAUAGAUACUUCUGUGAAGUAUCAAAAUAUGAUUUACAAAAAUGCUUAGCCUUGCUUAGAUCUUGUGGAUAGAGGUUGUCCUCAGUCUAACCCGGGAGAGGAUGGCUUCUACCUGCAAGAAUAUUUUCAUUUGGAGCAAUAGUGGGAUCUUACUGCAAAGUUCCCUGUGAUGCUCUUUCAUCCUAAGGAACAGACACAAUCCUAAGGAUGGAAAUACUUAAAUUGAAACUUGGGUUAGGAAUAGGUGAUGUUCUACCCAGGUUGGUUAAGGAUUAAUGCGUAUGUAGGCGUGCUGACCGAGGACCCUUUAACUGGUCACAUGCCUCGUCAUGGGUAAGCCUUGCCUCGGGCAGACUAAGGCCAGAAUAAGAUAACACGAAAUGGGCGUGGAGCGGUGGCGAGAGUAGCGUGUACCCUCCGUGGCAAGAGGCUGGACGGUGGUGUAUCUGUGCUCUCGGUUUGCGUGAAGCUGAUCUGGUCUUAAGAACCCCGGUGGCGGGUUGACAUAUGCAAGGGUUAAGUGCUACAUAUGUCAUGUGAUUGGAGAUCCUGAGUUGAGUAUAAUCGAUUCGGAUCGCCGUACCUUCGCGGUUAUGAAGACUUGGUCACUUUCCUACAACCUAAAGUUAGGAUGUGAACACUAUGGAUAAAAAUGAUGUUGUAUUGAUGAGAUGUUGAAAUUAGACUAGAUGCAAAUAGAGUCUAUUAAUACUUAAUCUGGCGUUAAAAUAUUGAAAGUAAGGACUCACUUUAGUAAGCUAUUUCUGCAAAAGUAUCUAAGUUGAUUCUUGCUAAAGCCUCUCCUUGAUUCCCAAAUCCAGCAUAUCCUUGAGAGUCUUUUCUUUAGUCGAGUAAGUCUUGCUGAGUAAUUCCAUACUCAGGGUUUUAUUCCCUGUUGUUUUUCAGGUCCUAACUUUGUGAUGUUGUUGAUGGUGUUAAGUGCCGGUGGGCUCGGCCUUCUUAUAAGUCUAAGUAACUCUUCUAUACUUCUUAUUGAGGAUGGUCACUUGAGCUAGCAUAUAUUUCAAACUUAUACUUUUGUAAUCACUUCGACAAAAUAAUGUAAAUUUUUUAUAACCUGUAAAAUUUGGUAAUAAGAUUUCCGCUGCAAAAAUGUUGUGUGUGUGAUUUGUUUUACUUAAUCCCGCGGUUCUGGUUGUAAGUGGUUUAUCCGAUGUCCUUGGGGCAAUCGGACGGAUCCUGUUAAGUUAUUUAGUGCACAUGCAUAGCUGUCUGAGGUCUUUGAGACAAGGAUAGGUGCAUGUGGGCCCAAUAACUUGGGAGGUUCUGCCACAGCGGGUAUCGGAGCUGGAUUAAGUAUAUACGGUCACAUACGUAUUUUCAAAACAAAAGUUUUGGUUUUGAAAAACCUAUUUUCAACUAAACACAUUGUUUGGCUUUGAAAAACAGUUUUGAAAACUAUAAUGCUAGCGACAUCCUCUAUUAAGCCCUAAGUUAAGGACUAUCAGGUGGCUUAGUUGAAAACCAUAACCCACAACCGGGUGGGUAUUGCAUACAUGUGUAUUGUUAUUUUUGAGGCCAUUCAGUUUUGAAUGGAUCGACGCUCAGGUAAGGUGAGUUGUGAGAGCAUGACCGAACAACCGUCGGUCUAGGGAAGUGCUUAAUUGUAGCGCCUGAUUAUAUACAUGUUCUACAUAUGUAUAUAUGAAGGCUGCGAUGUGGAGUACUUACUUUUCCGGGAAUUCAGUACCCCAUGGAUGUGUAAGGGUAUACAGACAUGGGAAUACUGAGAAGUGUAAUGUACUUGUAACAACGCACCUACGUUCAGGUAAGAAGGUGAGUUACCAUAAUGAGUUGCCCUAUGGUUAAAGUGUGGCAACGGCGCCUAUGCAUGGCUCGACGCUUAAUGAUGAGCUGGCCUCCAUAUAGCAAUAUAUGGAGUAUAAACUGUGAUAAACUGUCAUGUGUGACUUGCAUCAUUGGGAAAUGGCCUGUGAUGGAUUUUUCUGCAGGUACACUAACCUCAAAAACGUAUGUGUAGCUGACGACUAGCAAAUUACCGUGAGAGAAUGUAUGCCACCGAUAUAGAACGUUAUUGCCACAAUAUGUUGGCAAAAUUAGUGAGGACGAAUAGGACGAGCAUGCAUCCUGAUUGUUGCAUCAUGUUUGUCACCUAUACACCCAAAAUGUUUCUCUCAUCUUUAUUCUAGUAACCAUUGAUUGUAGAUAAUAUGGUGUAAUGCUGAAUUAUGAACUUCGAUGAAAUAGGUGUCCUCCAUUCCUUAGGUGACCUCUUAGGGUGUUUUAUGUGCUUGCUCUUGUGCUUGAUGUGCCGAUAGUAAGUUAGUAAUUGAUUGCCUAAACCUAAAACUAGGCCAUGUUCUUAUUUUGUGAACCAUGACCCGAAUUUGAAUUUUCCGUUAUCACUCCAUGACUAAACCCAUGCAAAUAAAUGCGUAGAUAAUUUCUUUAUUAGACAUAAAUUGUGCCUAGGCUUCAACAAGAAUCUCGAGUCAUGUUUCCUUCUAAAACCAUUCCCUUGUUUAUUGGUGCAAGCUGAUGUACCUUAACCAGUUCGCCUGUUCUUAAGGAUCGCCAUGUUGAAUUAUCUUGUCGCUUUAUCAACCCAACCUAGGAAAGUCCUGCCUGAUCAUCUUCAUUAAUUUGAUUCCUUUGGUUUCCUCAUAUCUAUCAAAGGCAUACCAACUUGAUCUUAUGAUUGUUUCCCCUCCGUAUUUGAUCAGAUACUAAUCCUUGACCUUGUGAUCUCUGCGAUGGGCAUAGAAAUAUGCUUGGGACUGAAAUAACAGUCUCCCAUCGUACUCCUUUCAUUCAGUUAGGUUAUGGCCAUAUCUUGUUCAUUUCAUCGGGCCAUGAUCUAUUUGGCUCUCUACUUGUAACCAUUUUUACAGGUGGAGUAAUUCUUUGUAUAUAGUCACCCUUGCUCAAUCUAUUGGUGUCGCGUGAGAUUUCUUAUUGGUUAUGUCUGGUAAUGGUGUUAUGACUAAAAUCGGUGACACCGCGCUGAAACCGAGGGCCUCCUGUGGGUGCACACACAUGGUUGCGCUACUUGGCACGCGCUAGUAUCACAGUUAGUAUUCAUAAUCCAUUAUAAGACUAUAUUGAUAUGUUAUCUCUACACAAAUUGUUCUUACCACGUGAGAUUCAUUAUUGGUGCCAGUUUUGCAAUGGUGUCAUGGUUAAGGACUUAUGGUACCGCGGCGAAACUGAGAGCCUCCUGUGAAUGCGCACACAGGAUUUUGCUGCUUGGCGCAUGCCGGUAUCGAAGUCUCUAGUCAUGAUUCGUUAUGGAAUUACACUGAUGUGUUAUCUUCCGCUGACUCCUUCCUUGAAACGAUUUCGGUGUUGUUUGUCGAGGUGAUCAAGCAACAUCUGUCAUCUCCAUUAGAUCAAAACGACAUACCCCUUACUUGUGUGGUCUCUUUCCCCUUGACCUUGAUAGUGACUGCACGCAUAGAAGUUUCCUUUACAUCCUUUGUGUAAAGGUGAAACCUUGGAGCUUUUUAGUGUCGAGAGACAACUGAUUAGCUCUCAAAAUAGAGAUAUGUUUCCCCUGCUGUUGAAAUGCAGGAGUUUGUUCAUUCGCUCUCUUAUUUAAUCCAUAUAUUCCCUAACCAUGUGGAUGAUUCAUCUCGCAUGAGAAAAACGGAUGAACAACUUGACCAAAUAAACUUUUACCCACAUACAUAACCUCUUAUUAACAAAGAGUGAACUCUCAACCCCUUGGCUUACCAAUGGUACUGAGAGGAUUUGCUUAAUGUCAAAAGUAAUUCAACAAGUUGGUUUUGACUAACUUGUAACUGCCCAAUGAACGAAGGCUGAGUUUAGAGAUUGUUUUAUCGAGCUGUCUAAACUCACUUUUGUACAACCCCUCUUAAGGAAGUAUUUUCAAGAAUCGAGAUUAAGUCGGCCAAUAACCACCUAAUUAUCGCUCUAGUCAUGCCUCGAUCAUCCCACGUGUGCUUUUCAGCAUGAGUGAUCCGGUCGAGUCAUGCUUAGUGCUCGAUAAAGGGGAUUGAUUGUGAAGUCAACAUUUGUUGAUCAUCUUCACUAAUGUGUUCCUCGAAUUUUCAUUAUCUUCCUGGAACUUGAAUUCCUUAAAUGGCCACUUGUUGGUAAACCUCUUUCGGUGUGUUUUACCUAAGAGGUUGCAUCUGAUUCUGUUUGGGUAAAAUCGCGUAAUUGCCGCUCGCCCAACGGACUCAGAUAGUACAGUGUCAUCAGAAAAAGCAACUACACACAUGAAACCCUGUGUGUUCCUCUAGCAGAUAUCACCUCUAUUGUUGGACAUCUCUAAAUUGGCCUAAGGCAAUAUAUGUUAUGCCCACUAGAGAAACAAUAUCCUGAGACACUCGCCUUUAAUUGGAAAUGUCUCAUGAUUAUUACUGAUAUGAACAUGGGUUACAUACUUCUCUACCCUUAGAAGUCUUUCGCUCCGAAUCUCGGGACGAGAUUCUUUUAAGGGGGGGGGGCUGUAACACCCCUGGUGUUUAUAUUCUGCUCGACAACGAGUAUGAAUUUAAGCACGUAAUAUCAGUGGAUAAAACGGAUGUUAAAUUUUAAACAUCUUCGCCUAUCGCGAUUUUAAAAUCGUAUCUGUUCCGUUUGUCGCGAGUGCGACAUCAUUUUUACUUCCAUUUAUUCGGGCUCUUCCGAAGUUUUCGUGCUGUUCAGAACAUAUUUGUUCUGAAAAUCGGUGCGUCCGGUGAGUAUUUAAAAUUCAUCGCUCGCGCGAAUACAAAAUUCGGAAGCUUUACCCACUCGGACGAUUUUAUCCCGAGACAAUUAAAUAGAACCCGACGACUAAGUUUCUGGUGAAAAAUAAAGUAGUUCCCUUUUUGUCAUCCGUAAUAUCACAUCUACGGAUGUUUAAUUAAAUUGUUCUUUAGUCGAAUAUUCAGGUAGUAGUAAAAUUCGUUUAAGUUCAACUAAAUCGAAUGUCUAUUAAAACAUCGAAUCUGAUAUCGUUUAGUUUGAUCCGUUAACAGCAGACUGUUUAAAUAAAAUGAAUCCGAAGCAUGUCAUGUGUAUUUGUGUGGUGCGUUGAUCCUUUAUCUAAAAAAUGUGAUUCAAAAUAUCUUUAAUUGCCGUUAAGAAAAAGUGAGAGAAAAGAAAAUCCGGAAAAUGGAAAAAUACCCACCGUUCCUAUCUCUUCCACCGCGCGCACGGUCUUCAGAUUUUUUUUCCACGUGCAGUGCUCUUCUCUCCCGCCGUUCUCACUUUCUUCUCUGAUUUCUUGAUUCUUUCUAUCCCAGCGUCGAUCCUUAUCCCCGCCGCUCUUCUCCCCUUCAGAUCUUUCAGCCGUCAGUAUUUAUCUGCGCAGUUCCUCUGAUUCUCAUCCAUCGGCGUUCCUUCGUCCCCAGCUCGGCGCUCAAGCUCCCUUACACCGCGCGCCCUAGCAUCUGCUCACCUCUGCGCGCGCUUCUCUCCAUGGAGCGCUCGACCGGAGCUCUGCUCCCCUGCUCCUCUGCGCCGCGCCCUUGUCUUCAGCCGGCGCUACCUCUUUUUCAGCGACGUCCAGCUUCAUCUCCCUCAACUCCCACGGCCGGAACUCCCGCUGCCGCUCGGCUCUAGUGAAAGAAGCUCCCUGUGCCCAGCGCUCCCUGCUCCAUCUUCUCGUGCGCGUGCGUCCUCGCCGCGCCGAGCGCCGUGAAGUCUCUGCGCGCCGCGGGCUCGAUUCUUUCAUCCCGCGCGCGUCCCCUGUGUUUCUCUGCUCGGCCUCUGUUACUUCUGUUACUCCUCUGCGCGCAGCUGCAUCCCACUGCUUGGCUACGGCUCAUCCGUUGCGCUCGGGUCACCCUGGUAUUCUAGCUCGUCGUCGCGUUGUUUGCCGUCGACCUCGCUAAAUCGCCCCUUGCUCGACGCCGGUGAUGGCCGUCGUGGAGCACCGCUGUAAACUCCCAGCACCCUUGCCUCUGCUCCAGGAAAUAUCAAGCCUUGAACAACCAUCAAUUUGUUGCGACGUGUGUGCGCUACUCGUCCCACGUCGUCGUCUUUGUGUGUGGACAGCCCCGUCGCGGCAUGUCUGCCAAAUCAUCGCGCCCGUGCUGAGUUCCCUGGUCAUCGCGUUUUUUCUUAUAGAUGCUCAGUCUUACCGCGCGUCCUCUUUCCUGUUCGCCAGCGCGCCCUCUCGGCUCGCUCGGCUUUAAUUCCCAAUCGUGUCGUCGAUUCCACCGGUUAGCGUCAUUCGUCGUCGCGUCGCGUGUGCAGCUCUAUAUACGUCACUCUCCUGUGUCGUCGUCGUUCCACGUGUCGUCAAGAAAUUCCAAGAGUCGAGUGAAGAUGGAGCCAGCAGCAUGGUGUUCACCAAGUGCGCGACAAAAAGCUCGGACAUCCUGCGCGACUCAAGUUCGAUUCGUCAAAAUUAUUUAGUCGAGGAAAAGAUCUUCAGCAAAUGAUUAUCGAAGAAAAGAAGGCCCCUGGGUGACGUCAACCGGAACCUGUAGUCGUGCUUGCGACUAUCGCGUCGAAUUAGUCAGGGUAAGUUCAUUCGUUUUCCUGUCAACUAGAUCUAUAAAUAGAUUAAUAGAAUUAUUAGUCGCAAUAAUUAUUAUUAAUUUAGUAUACACAUAUUGUGAUGUUCGAUUUAGAUAAAUAGGUAAAUCAAGUAAUUAAGAUACACAGUUUAAAGAGUUAAUAAAAAGCUAGGAAUAAAAAUAGAUAUUCUAGUGUUAUUAUGUCAAUGGAUGUAGUCGAUGCCCUGUUGUGAUAUCCAUGGUGCUUAAUGUUUGGUUUUAAGUGUUUCAUCCUUUUAGUGUAGAUUAUCUAUAUUAUACUCGUGCUCAUACAUGUGCAUCAUGCAUUUCAUGAGGUGCGAUAAUUAAUCACGUGAUGCGGAAGAUGACUCAAGUCGACCCCAAGCGCGGGCUAAUCCGCGGGAUGAAGCUGAUGGACCAACCUGAAGAUGGUUAAAUCAAGCAAAUGUUCGGUUGAGGGAUACUCGUCAAGCGGACGUCAUCUAACAAACACUAACAUAGUGUUUAUUCCAGGCAAGCCCCGGUGCAUGCAACUCCUUUCCUUGUGUUUUAAAUACUUUUCGCACACUUUAAGUCUAGUGAAAUGUGCAUUAGGUUCAUAGGAGUUGCUUGGAACCCUUUGAUGCAUUGCUUUCCUUGAUAUCCAUACCUUUAUAGAUACUUCUGUGAAGUAUCAAAAUAUGAUUUACAAAAAUGCUUAGCCUUGCUUAGAUCUUGUGGAUAGAGGUUGUCCUCAGUCUAACCCGGGAGAGGAUGGCUUCUACCUGCAAGAAUAUUUUCAUUUGGAGCAAUAGUGGGAUCUUACUGCAAAGUUCCCUGUGAUGCUCUUUCAUCCUAAGGAACAGACACAAUCCUAAGGAUGGAAAUACUUAAAUUGAAACUUGGGUUAGGAAUAGGUGAUGUUCUACCCAGGUUGGUUAAGGAUUAAUGCGUAUGUAGGCGUGCUGACCGAGGACCCUUUAACUGGUCACAUGCCUCGUCAUGGGUAAGCCUUGCCUCGGGCAGACUAAGGCCAGAAUAAGAUAACACGAAAUGGGCGUGGAGCGGUGGCGAGAGUAGCGUGUACCCUCCGUGGCAAGAGGCUGGACGGUGGUGUAUCUGUGCUCUCGGUUUGCGUGAAGCUGAUCUGGUCUUAAGAACCCCGGUGGCGGGUUGACAUAUGCAAGGGUUAAGUGCUACAUAUGUCAUGUGAUUGGAGAUCCUGAGUUGAGUAUAAUCGAUUCGGAUCGCCGUACCUUCGCGGUUAUGAAGACUUGGUCACUUUCCUACAACCUAAAGUCAGGAUGUGAACACUAUGGAUAAAAAUGAUGUUGUAUUGAUGAGAUGUUGAAAUUAGAGUAGAUGCAAAUAGAGUCUAUUAAUACUUAAUCUGGCGUUAAAAUAUUGAAAGUAAGGACUCACUUUAGUAAGCUAUUUCUGCAAAAGUAUCUAAGUUGAUUCUUGCUAAAGCCUCUCCUUGAUUCCCAAAUCCAGCAUAUCCUUGAGAGUCUUUUCUUUAGUCGAGUAAGUCUUGCUGAGUAAUUCCAUACUCAGGGUUUUAUUCCCUGUUGUUUUUCAGGUCCUAACUUUGUGAUGUUGUUGAUGGUGUUAAGUGCCGGUGGGCUCGACCUUCUUAUAAGUCUAAGUAACUCUUCUAUACUUCUUAUUGAGGAUGGUCACUUGAGCUAGCAUAUAUUUCAAACUUAUACUUUUGUAAUCACUUCGACAAAAUAAUGUAAAUUUUUUAUAACCUGUAAAAUUUGGUAAUAAGAUUUCCGCUGCAAAAAUGUUGUGUGUGUGAUUUGUGUUACUUAAUCCCGCGGUUCUGGUUGUAAGUGGUUUAUCCGAUGUCCUUGGGGCAAUCGGACGGAUCCUGUUAAGUUAUUUAGUGCACAUGCAUAGCUGUCUGAGGUCUUUGAGACAAGGACAGGUGCAUGUGGGCCCAAUAACUUGGGAGGUUCUGCCACACUAUUCUUGGCAAUGGAAAUUCAUCCUUCGGACAAGCCUUGUUGAGAUCAGUAAAAUCAAUGCACAUUCUCCAUUUACCAUUGGCCUUCUUCACCAUAACAGUGUUAGCUAGCCAUUCUGGGUAUUUUACUUCCCUGAUGACUCCAGCGCUGAGAAGUCUUUUCACUUCAUUUCGAGCACCUUCGGCUUUGUCAUCAGACAUCUUCCGAAGCCUCUGCUUUCUGGGUCUGAAGGAUGGAUCAACAUUGAGCGAGUGUUCAAUAACAUCCCUGUUGACACCACAGAGAUCAUUAGCUGACCAUGCGAAAACAUCUUUGUUAUUGAACAGGAACCUUAUUAGGGUUUUCUCCUGCUUUUCAGACACUUGAGAUCCCAGCAGCACCCUCUGCUCUGCUAUAUCUUCACAUAAGAGCAUGGGCUUCGACUGAUCAGCCGAAGCAGCCUUCUCCCUUCUGUACUUGAAUUGCUCACAAGCUUCGGCUCUAUCUAUGUUAUGGAUUGCUUUUGAACCUGUCCAGUUUCCUUCGGCCUUUCUGGCAGCUUCCUGACUUCCAUGAAUAGCAAUAGGCCCUUGGUCCGAAGGUAUUUUCAUGCAAAGAUAUGUUGGAUGAAGAAUUGCUUCAAAAGCAUUGAGUGUCCCACGACCAAUGAUUGCAUUGUAAGGGUAUUCCAUGUCAACAAUAUCAAACACAACUUGUUCAGUCCUUGUAUUGUUGACAAAUCCGAAGGUCACUGGCAUCGUGAUCUUGCCGAGCGCUACAAUCUGCCUUCCUCCGAAGCCACAAAUGGGAUGUGUAGCAUCAUGGAUCUUAUCUUCGGGCUCUUGCAUCUGCCUGAAGGCCUUAGCAAAUAUAAUAUCCGCUGCACUGCCUGUAUCAACUAGAACAUUAUGGACCAGAAAUCCUUUGAUAACACAAGAAAUAACCAUAGCAUCAUUGUGAGGGUAAUCCUUGAGCUGAAGGUCCUCUUGAGAGAAGGUAAUUGGGAUGUGGGACCAUCUUGACUUGAUGAAGGGUCCUUGCACCCCGACAUGUUGUACCCUUCUCUGUGCCUCCUUCUUCUGCUUCUUGUUAGCUGGCUCUGAGCAUGAACCGCCUGUUAUCGGGAGUACCAGCUUUGGAGCCGAAGCAGCUCUAGCUUGGUUGUUGAACGAAGCCAUCAGCUCAAAAAAGUGGAAGUGAGUUCACCGGAGGUGGGCGCCAAUGUUGGGGACUUGUUCUCAAAUGCUAUGAAUUAAGAACAAGGCAACAUAAAAUGUUAAAUAAUAAUGCCCUUCGUCCGCUGAAACAUUAUUUCCCCAAGAAUUUAAUGAACUUCGGACGAAGGCCAUGGACAGAAUACCACGAAGGUCAUACCUUCGUGAUCAGACAUACAACAAUGCGAAAUAAAAUAUAAAAUAUUAAACAUUAGAAGAAGAUCUAUUAAAAACAAAUUACAUUUUUCAUAUAUUUCAUAAUAUGAACUUAAAUAUUAAAACAUAAUAUUUCGGUACAGUUAUACCUUCGUCUUGAUAGAAAAUAAUUCCAGCGUAAUGCGUCAACAAUUACAGUAUUGCGUGAACAGUGCAGGGGUACUGUUCACCUAUUUAUAGGCACAGGGCGCAGCCUGUGUAAAAUUACAUUUAUGUCAUUUACGAUCGACUACAAUAAUGACACAAAACUUCAUGGGUCUUUAAGUCAAACCAUCUUUAAGUCGGUUCGUCCUUUCGUCCUGAGAUCUAUCACUAUACCGAAGCUCUAUAAGUAAUAGCUUCGGCGCUGCUCCUGAGAGGAUCUGCCGAAGGUGUUCUCUUUCUUUAGGAUCUUCGGCUACGAAGCAUACACCCAAAAUUGACCGAACCACGGGAUAAAAAUCGUCGUGUCACUUGUAUCUAUUUUAUUGAGAUUCCUCUCUCUCACUUCACUUAUAUAAUUGGUAUAAGUUCAAUACUCAUCUUGUGAAAGCAAUUAAGUGAAGAAGUCUUUUCCUCGCACUCCCUUCAUUCGGACUUGGCUCUUGAUAUAUCCAAUCCAAUAUUAGACCAAGUUUGCUUUCUUGAGCUAAUUUUUACAGGAUCACCUAUUCACCCCCCUCUAGGUGCUCUCACCAGGGAGCAUUACUGGAUGUUGGUGAGGCUAAGGGCACGAGCAAUUGGUUGGCAGUGCUCCGGGUGGCGCUGGCUACGUUUACUUACGGGGUUUUAGGAUCCAGCGAGCCGUGGCACGCCGUAGGAGGGGAGUAAAGCUCUGAUGAGGCGCUUGGGAAGCUUCACUGGCUCUUCGGGAAGAUGCAUGCGGGGCGCAUUCGUAUGGAGGGUGGCCGGGCUAGUCAGGCCAUGGUGGCCAUCUUCGUGCGAUGAUGGCGGGCGGCGGAGCUCUUUGCUAGGGUGAAAUUCUGAUGAGGACGCGCUCGAUUUAGGGUCUGGGUUGUGUAGGUAACAUUGCCGAGGCUAGGGUGGGUCUUAUAGGAGCGGGGCAGCUCGGACAAGGCGCUGACCGACAGCAUGUGUGGGGUGGGGGGCGUCCUUUGGCUUGCCAGGCAAGAUCAAAUACGUGGCCCGGUUUCUUUAGCUAGUUUUCUUGCGUGAGUAGUCACACAUCCGUGCCCGAUCUCAUCGAGAUUUCUAUACAUGGCGCCUUCUCAUCUCCCUAAGCUAACUCCUUUUGUAUGGGGGUUAAAGAAUUUUCCCACUAGAUUGUGGGAUAGGGGAGGGGAAGUCGGUUGUCACCAGGGCCAAAACCAAGGGAAAACUGGUGUUUUGACAAGUCAAACGGUCUGGUCCGGAGGCCAUGUCACACCCGAUUUUAGAAGGCAAACUGAAUGCGAACCAUGUACGUGCCAGGAUCAGCAAUUCACGUACACAGCAGUUACAUAACAUGGACAUCAUCACACAGUGCUCAAAUAGUAUUAAAAAGGGGAAUAAUAGUUGAUUACAUCAUAUGUCUGAGACAUCCACAUAGUCUUUACAAUAAUCAAAGUGCGAAAACGAAACGUAGAUAAACGUGGCCUUCACAGGCAGCCGAAUGGGGGUUGCCGCUAACCCACGCCUAGAACUCGUCGUAAUCCUGGAACUCCUGGUGGUCUCCUUCCACAGCUUCAUCUUCUCCUAAGCAGGGGUUGCAAUGCUGACAACCUGGGGAUGGGGGGGUUUCGUGUGUAGAGCAAGGGUGAGUACACAUCAACAUACUCAACAAGUAUCCUGUUUGGCUGUAGUGGACUAGCUUUAUGUGGGGGUAAGUCAACCAGUUGCUUUUAGUUGGUCAGAUUAUUAUUACUAGUAGAAAAAGCCAAGUUUUAGAGUUAACCCACGUUAUUAACCCAAACGUACUCCUUUCCAAACGGAAAGAGUACCACUUACCAUUACCAGAGUCAAUACCAAGAACCAUCAAUCUCAUUGCCACAUGCAAGCCGUGAUUCCCUUUCUGCCCGGAGAGAGCUACUCCCCAUUGACCACUACCUAGGUGGCCCGGCAGGGCGUCACUACGUAGCCUUUACCAAGAUUCCCCGAGGCUGUAGCCGCUCGUUAGGUUUCCUAAAUGCACCGCACUCCUCCCCAAGGGGGCGAACCCAAGCUUGGUAGAGCGAGCCGCAUACACCGAGCCCCAUUAACGGCACGACGGCUAAGCGAACUACACCCCGGUUCCUCUAAUUAUUUAGCUAAGGGCACCCCAUUCCACCCUCAUGGUUGCACUGUUUUCCCGGACGGUCAUCCAACGAACAGGUCCUUACGGAGAGGCACUCGAGAAACCGCUUGAGCCCCCUUGAAUGCCACAAGUAUAACAUCAUAAAGGAGGAAAACAGUGUAUCAUUGAUAAAUCUCAUCAUGUUUAUUGAUUAGAGUUGAGCAAUAGCAUAAAGCUAAACAAUAAUAAUCCAACCCAAAUAGGUAAACAAGGACAUGGAUAACAAAAGCUAGUCAAUCCUUAGGUAUAACUGUGAAAUGCGGGAGGUGAAUUAAAGAAUGUAUAGGAUAGAGAUAGGUCAAGGGACACUUGCCUCCACCAACCGACUGCUGCUCAGGGCUUCUCCUGCGAGUUCUUCGGGCUCCUCAACCAGAUCGUUCUCUAUGCGAGCGCAAACAUACAUACAUCCAUCCAUUCGAAUUAGGAAACAAACUGUACACCAUACAAGAGAACAGAUAGAUUGAAUAUGCAUAGAGUAUGACAUACGAUAUUGCAUUCGCCAUGGCUAGAAAGAGAAGAAAGAAGGUCUUGCAGUGGUUAAAGCUAUACUCGAAGCGUAUUACGGGUAGAUGCAUAACUAAUCGUUACGUGAUCUAAUUCCAUCGAGUUACACUAACAAGUACUAGCCACAUGCACUAAUAAAAUACACGGGGGGGGGGGGGGGUAGACGGGCACGUCUAGGGGUAGACGAACGCGCCGAGGGCACGGCGAGUCGUGCUAAAGCACCGUGCGCAAGGCCGCGCUGACGCGUCGCAAACGGGUCGCGCACACGCUGGGGCCGAGCUGCGCACGCGCCGCGCGAGCCGAAGCCGCGCCGGGCCGGGGCCGCGCUGCGCAGGGGCUGAGCCGCGCCAUGGCGAGUACGCUGGGAUGGCGGCCGGGGCUGGGGAGCCAUGUCGGGUGGGGGCACGCUGGGCUGCGCCGCGAGCAGGGGCGGCGAGCCAGGCGGGCGCGCCACGGCCACGCCGGGUAGGGGCAAGGUCGGAUGGGGGCGAGCCGCACCGGGGCGGGGCUGCGCGAGCGCGCCGCCGAGGCCGCGCCGGGGACGGGGCAGGGGAGUUCGCCGGGCGGGGUGGGGACGCCGCGCUGGAACGGGGCCACGCGCCGGAUAGGGGCAGGGGCGGGGGAGCGCGCCGGGGCAGGCGGCUCGGCGCCGAGCGCGCCGCGCAGGGAGGGGCUGGGGCAGGCGGACGCCAGGGAAGGCGAGCGCGGCCGCGCCGCGGCCAAAGCAGGGGCCGCGCGGGCACGCCAUUGCCGGCUGGGACGCGGGGGACGGGGCGGGAUGCCAGGGCCGGGCGCGGGUGCCGUGGCUGCCAUGGCCUCGCGCCGAGAGCACGGCGGCGGGCGCCGAGGCGACCCAAGCCGCAGGAAGAAGGGGGCGAGGGAGGGAGAGGGAGGGAGGGCCGGGGCUCACCGUGGGCGGGCGGUGGGCGGCGGCGUCGGGCGAGCCGGGGUGGGCAAGGGUGAUCGCGCGAGGUGGGGAGGAGAGGAUCGUGCGCGCGGGGGUUAGUUAAGGGAGAGGGAGAGGGCGAUUUGGGGGGGGGUGCUGGCGGGCGGGCCCCACAUGGCAGGGCGACAGCGGCUCCAACCACCCGCGGGGGGCGCGGCGCGCGCACAGGGGCGAGGCGGCUGGGCCGCCGAGCCGGCCCAAGGCGGGGCAGGGGGAGCCGAGCUGGGCCGCGGGGCCACGGCUGGGCCGCCGAGCCGGCUGGGCCACGGGGGGGGGGGGGGCAGCUGGGCCGCCAGAAAGCCGACAAAAAAAGAGAGGGGGGGGAAUUUCUAUUUCUCUUUUUAAAUCUAUUUUCUAAAUGAGUGGUUUCACAGUUUCACUCAAUCAAAACAAAUGCAUGGUUCGGCAUGGUGCAGCAAACAAAAUAAAGUAUUUCUAGGGUUUUGCUUUACACGAGAUCUCAAGCCGAAUCUCGCUAUAACUUUGGAAAAGAUCAAGGCUUAGCGAGGAGAAAAGGAAAAAGGAAAGGGUAAUGCCCGAAUUUGGCGAGUGAAGAAAAGAAAAAAUUCAACUCCAAAAUUCGGGGCGUUACAAACCUAUCCCCCUUAAAAGAAUCUCGCCCUCGAGAUUCAAGGUUGGCUAGCAAAGAGCUUAGGGUAUUUAGCCAUCAGAUCAUCUUCAGGCUCCCAGGUUGCUUCUUCCUCAGAGUGGUGAUUCCAUCUGACUUUGCACAUUCUGAUGGUCUUCCUUCAGGUGACUCUGUCUGCAAUCUCAAGGAUUUGCGUUGGCUUCUCAAUGUAAGUCAAGGCCUCCUGGACUUCAAGGCCUUCCACUGGCAACUGCUCUUCUGGCACUCGCAGACACUUCUUCAACAGAGACACAUGAAAGACAUCAUGCACUGCAGACAAGUUUUCUGGAAGACUGAGCUGAUAGGCCACUUCUCCACGCCUUGCGAGAAUCUGAUACGGACCAAUGUAGCGGGGUGCUAGCUUGCCUUUGACUCCGAACCUUCUGACUCCUCUGAUCGGUGACACUUUCACAUAGACAAAAUCUCCAACUUCAAAACUCAGGUCUCUCCUUCUUGUGUCUGCAUAGCUCCGCUGCCUUGAUUGCGCUAUCUUUAGAUUCUCUCGAACCAUCUUGAUGUUCUCUUCAGCUUCAAGCAGAAUGUUUGGCCUGAACACUUGCUUCUUUCUAGGCUGAACCCAUUGCAACAGAGUUCUACAACUCCUUCCAUAAAGCGCCUGAAAUGGUGACAUCUUCAAGCUGGCCUGGUAACUGUUAUUAUAAGAGAACUCUGCAUAAGGAAACCUCUUGUCCCAUCCGGACUGAUCUUGCAACGCACAGGCUCUCAACAUGUCUUCAAGGAUUUGAUUGGUCCUUUCGGUCUAACCAUCCGUCUGUGGAUGAUAAGCUGAACUGAAAUUCAGAUGUGUACCCAAGGCUUCAUGCAACUGCUGCCAGAAAUGAGAGGUGAAUUGCGUUCCUCUGUCUGACACUAUCUUCUUUGGCACACCAUGAAGACAAAUGAUCCGAGACAUAUACAACUCUGCCAAUACUGCACUGUUGUAGUUGGUCUUGACUGGUAUGAAGUGGGUUGACUUGGUUAAGCGGUCCACCACUUCCCAAAUUGAAUCGUAGCCGGCUCGAGUGCGAGGCAAUCCAACAAUGAAAUCCAUACCGAUUUCAUCCCACUUCCACUGAGGAAUUUGCAAUAGUUGCAACAAUCCAGCUGGUCUUUGGUGCUCUGCCUUGAUCUGCUAACAACUAUCACACAUAGCCACAUGCUCUGUGAUUUCCCUCUUCAUUCUGUACCACCAGAAUUUCUUCUUCAGAUCUUGAUACAUCUUCUCACUUCCAGGGUGAAUCGAAUAAGUUGUCUCAUGAGCUUCCUUGAGAAUCAAUUCUUGAAUAGACUAGACAUUAGGAACACACAAGUGGUCCUUGAACCAUAUCACACCUUCUGCAUCUUCCCGAAAAUGUUUGCCUCUGCCAUCUAGAAUCAGUCACCGGAUUUCACUGAUCUUCUCAUCAUUCUUCUGCGCUUUUUUGAUUUCCCGCUCCAGGGUAUGUUUCAACUCAAUUGUUACUCCUCGAGUGUUAUUCAGAAACCCGAGACUCAACCUGUCGAACUCUUUGGCUAACUCAUAUGGCAUCGGACGAGCGACCAUCAGAUUGACUUGACUCUUCCUGCUCAAAGCUUCUACCACUACGUUCGCUUUGCCUGGAUGGUAAUGAAUCUCCAAUUCGUAGUCUUUGAUCAACUCUAACCAUCUUCGUUGCCUCAUAUUCAACUCUGACUGAGUGAAUAUGUACUUCAGACUCUUGUGGUCUGUGUAAACAUCACAUUUCUGUCCAUAUAGAUAGUGCCUCCAUGUCUUCAAUGCGUGAACCACUGCUGCCAACUCUAGGUCAUGGAUUGGGUAAUUCUUCUCAUGAACCUUCACCUGUUGGGACGAGUAAGCCACAACUCUUCCCUCCUGCAUCAACACACAUCCCAACCCUGUGUAACAAGCAUCACAAUACACCGAGAAGGGCUUGUGCACAUCAGGCAAGACUAAGACAGGCGCUGUAGUCAACUUCUCUUUCAGAGCUUCAAAGGUCUCUUGACAUUUCUGGGUCCACUUGAACUCAACCUUGUUGCCUAGCAACGCUGUCAUUGGUUUUGCAAUCUUCGAGAACCCUUCGAUGAAUCACCGAUAGUAUCCGGCCAUUCCAAUAAAGCUCUUGAUUCCUUGAGCAUAUGUUGGCGCUUUCCAGUUCAGAAUGUCUGCCACUUUCUUCAGAUCCACAGCCAAUCCUUCUUUGUUGAUUAUGUGACCCAAGAACAGGACUUCACUGAUCCAGAACUCGCACUUGCUCAACUUUGCAUACAGCUGGUGCUCUCGCAAUCUCUGCAAUACCAUCCUCAAAUGAUCUGCAUGCUCUUCUUCGCUUUGAGAAUAUAUCAGAAUGUCAUCAAUAAAUACCACCACAAACUUAUCAAGAUAAUCCAUGAAUACAUUGUUGAUCAGAUUCAUGAAGAAGGCCGGUGCAUUUGUUAGACCGAAAGACAUCACAGUGAACUCACACAACCCAUACUUGGUAAUGAAUGUCGUCUUCGGAAUGUCUGAAGGUCGAAUCCUGAGCUGAUGAUAACCUGACCUCAGAUCUAUCUUGGAGAACACGCUGGCUCCUCUCAACUGGUCGAACAGAUCUUCUAUUCUUGGCAAGGGGUACUUAUUCUUGAUGUUGACCUCAUUCAGAGCUCGAUAAUCAAUACAUAUCCUUUUGGUGUCAUCUUUCUUCUCCACCAAUAAGACAGGGGCGGCCCAAGGCGAGGUGCUUGGCCGGAUGUAUCCUUUCUCUGACAGCUCAUCGAUCAGCUUCUUGAGUUCAACCAACUCAGGUCCAGAUAUUCUGUAAGCUCUCUUAAAGAUGGGGGCGGUUCCAGGAAGAAGCUCUAUGGCAAAUUCAACUUUCCGCUCUGGUGGCAUACCUGGUAAGUCCUUUGGAAACACAUCUGGGAACUCGGACACAACCUUGAUACUCUCGAUUGGGUCUGCUUCACUGCUUUUGAUAGCCAUCUGAUAACAACUUCCUUUCUUCGGCUCAGGCGGGACUAACUCGGUCACCACUUCCUCUCCUAGUGGAGACACCAACUUGAUUGUCCUCUUAUCACAACUGAUAACCGCCUGAUACUUAUCUAGCCAAUUCAUCCCUAGGAUGACAUCUAUUCCCUGAGUACCCAUUACUAUGAGGUUAGCGGGAAAUGCUAUCCCCCUUAUUUCCACACUUACAUUCAAACAAAUGCUAUCGGCUUGAAUUCUACCACCGGCUGAGUCAAUUUGAAUGGGGGUUGACAUGGUAGUUACUGGAAGAUUAUGUGCUUCUACCCAUGAUGUAGUAAUGAAAGAAUGUGUUGCUCCAGUAUCAAUUAACACUUCUGCAAUAUGGGAGUCGACUGGGAACAUACCUACGAUCAUGUUGGGGGUCUCCUGAACUGCUUCAGCCUCUAAGUGGUUCAGUCUCCCAUGGUUAUAGCGCGGCUGAGAGCGGUUGCCUUCUCCAGGCUGAGACACAUUCUGCUUUGCUGGGGGCAUUGGGGCCUGACUGCUGUUGGGCUGCCUUCUUCAGACAUUGCAUCACUCAAUGGCCUUGCUCUCCACAGUGGAAACAAGCUCUGUUUCCAACCUGAGCUGGUGCUGCCUGAUUGUUCUGCUGGUUUGCUGGGGCAGGAAGACGAGGUGUCUGCUGAUUCUGCCUCUGGAACUGACCUCCUCUUGACUGAUUGUUCUGGUGAUUCUGAUGCUGAUGCUGAGGAUACUGCAUUUGGAACUGCUGCUGCUAAGGUGGACGCUAGUUCUGCCUGAACUGCUGAGGUUGAUUGCUUGAGAAACGAGGACGAUUGCUGCUUUCAGGCUGGGGUCCACUGAUCUUGCGCUUGCGAUCCUCCAUCUCUUUGCGCUUCCUCUCUGUCAUGAUUGCUCUGUCAAUCAGGUGUUGGAAUGUCGGGAAGGUAUGAUUCAUCAGCUGAUACUGCAGAGGGUCAACCAAACCCCUCAGGAAACGGUACUGUCUCUUGGCGUCGGUGUUGACAUCUUUAGGGGCAUAGCGAGACAACUGCCGAAACCUGUCCCGGUACUCACUGACAGACAAUGACCCUUGCUUGAGGGCCAGGAACUCCUCCUUCUUCAUUGUCAUCAGACCUGCAGGAACAUGGGUACCGUUUGGUUCAAAUAUUUGUAACGUAAUGGGUAAGUGAUUACGUUAAAUCAUGUUUGUUUUAGUCCAACCGUAAUCAGAUACCGUACUAAAAUUUGAUACCGAACUAUUCAAACUUGUUACCGCCCGUAAUCAAGUGUAAACCAUUACCAUUACCCUUUACGUUACAUUUCGUGAACCAAACAGCACCAUGGUACUGACGAAAGCUACCUCUGAACUCUUCCCAGGUGAUGGUGUCGGGGUUGGCAUGGGUGGCGAGAUAAGACUCCCACCAUGACUGAGCUGCUCCUCUCAAUAGACCAGGACCAUACAGGACUUUCUCCCUGUCAUCGCACUGAGCGGUAUGCAACUCUCGCUCCAUAGUGUGCAGCCAGUCUUCAACAUCCAUGGGGUCAGAAGAAUGAGAGAACGUUGGGG
rnacentral:lncRNA from 1 species